UGAACGCUGGCGGCAUGCUUUACACAUGCAAGUCGAACGGCAGCGGGGUAGUGCUUGCACUACUGCCGGCGAGUGGCGAACGGGUGAGUAAUAUAUCGGAACGUACCGAGUAAUGGGGGAUAACCAAUCGAAAGAUUGGCUAAUACCGCAUACGUCCUGAGGGAGAAAGCGGGGGAUCGCAAGACCUCGCGUUAUUCGAGCGGCCGAUAACUGAUUAGCUAGUUGGUGGGGUAAAGGCCUACCAAGGCGACGAUCAGUAGCGGGUCUGAGAGGACGAUCCGCCACACUGGGACUGAGACACGGCCCAGACUCCUACGGGAGGCAGCAGUGGGGAAUUUUGGACAAUGGGGGCAACCCUGAUCCAGCCAUGCCGCGUGUAUGAAGAAGGCCUUCGGGUUGUAAAGUACUUUUGUUAGGGAAGAAAAGGGAAGUGCUAAUACCACUUUUUGCUGACGGUACCUAAAGAAUAAGCACCGGCUAACUACGUG
rnacentral:rRNA from 1 species